CUGCUGCCUUCCGUAGGAGUUUGGACCGUGUCUCAGUUCCAAUGUGGGGGGCCUUCCUCUCAGAACCCCUACGCAUCGUCGCCACGGUGGGCCGUCACCCCGCCGUCUAGCUAAUGCGCCGCAUGCCCAUCCGCCACCGGAUCGCUCCUUUGGCCACCGGAGGAUGCCCUCCGGUGGCGUCACGGGGUAUUAGGCCGCGUUUCCGCGGGUUAUCCCCCUGUGGCGGCCAGGUUGCAUACGUGUUACUCACCCGUGCGCCGGUCGCCGGCGGG
rnacentral:rRNA from 1 species